AUGGAGACAAUACUGGAGCAGCAGCAGUGCUAUCAUGAGGAGAAGGAAAGGCUCAUGGACGUCAUGGCCAAAGAGAUGCUGACUAAGAAGUCCACGCUCCGGGACCAGAUCAAUUCUGAUCACCGCACUCAGGUCAUACAAGACAGGUAUAUGGAGGUCAGUGGGAACCCGAGGGAUUUGUAUGAUGAUAAAGAUGGAUUACGAAAGGAGGAGCUCAAUGCCAUUUCAGGACCCAAUGAGUUUGCUGAAUUCUAUAAUAGACUCAAACAAAUAAAGGAAUUCCACAGGAAGCCCCCAAAUGAGAUCUGUGUGCCAAUGUCAGUGGAAUUUGAGGAGCUCCUGAAGACUUCGAGAGAAUCCAAGUGAAGAGGCACAAAACUUGGUGGAGUUCACAGAUGAAGAGGGAUGUGGUCGUUACCUCGAUCUCCAUGACUGUUACCUCAAGUACAUUAACCUGAAGGCAUCUGAGAAGAUGGAUUAUAUCACAUACCUGUCCAUCUUUGACCAAUUAUUUGACAUUCCUAAAGAAAGGAAGAAUGCAGAGUGUAAGACAUACCUAGAGAUGCUGCUUGAGAACCUUCAGGAUUACACAGAUAGAGUGAAGCCUCUCCAAGAUCAGAAUGAACUUUUUGGGAAGAUUCAGGCUGAGUCUGAGAAGAAAUGGGAGAAUGGGACCUUUCCUGGAUGGCCGAAAGAGACAAGCGGUGCUCUGACCCAUGCUGGAGCCCAUCUUGACCUCUCCGCAUUCUCCUCCAGGGAGGAGUUGGCCUCCCUGGGUUUGGACAGAUUGAAAUCUGCUCUCUUAGCUUUAGGCUUGAAAUGUGGCGGGACCCUAGAACAGCGAGUCUAGAGACUAUUCAGCACCAAAGGAAAGUCCCUGGAGUCACCUGAUAACUCUUUGUCUGCCAAAAUCCCAAGUCAAAAAGCACCAAGCGAGACACUGAGAGGAACAAAGACACUGCUUUUCUAGAAGCUCAGAUCUAUGUAUACUCUGACUCAUGGGGAACAGCGACAUCUCACUCAUGAAACUGCACAGGGCAAGCAAGCAAGGACAGGAGAAGAGCAAGAAGAGGAAGAAGAGCAGAUCAGUGACAGUGAGAGUGAAGAUGAAAAGAAUGAGAUCAUUUACAACCCCAAAAACCUGCCACUUGGCUGGGAUGGCAAACCCGUUCCCUACUGGCUGUAUAAGUUUCAUGGCCUAAAUAUCAACUAUAACUGUGAGAUUUGUGGAAACUACACCUACCAAGGGCCAAAGCCUUCCAGCAACACUUUGCUGAAUGGCAUCAUGCUCAUGGCAUGAGGUGUUUGGGCAUCCCGAACACUGCUCACUUUGCUAAUGUGACACAGAUUGAAGAUGCUGUCUCCUUGUGGGCCAAACUCAAAUUGCAGAAGGCUUCAGAAUGAUGGCAGCCUGACACUGAGGAAGAAUAUGAAGACUCAAGGGGGAAUGUUGUGAAUAAGAAGAUAUAUAAGGAUCUGAAAAGACAAGGACUGCUCUAGUGUUCAGGGAUGUAGCUCAGCUUUUGGGCUAGCCCAGGCUUCCCUGAGAUCUGCUUUUUCUUGUUCUCCCAACCAAAUCCUCUUUU